CAAACGACUCUCGGCAACGGAUAUCUCGGCUCAUGCAUCGAUGAAGAACGUAGCGAAAUGCGAUACUUGGUGUGAAUUGCAGAAUCCAGUGAACCAUCGAGUUUUUGAACGCAAGUUGCGCCCGAAGCCAUUCGGCCGAGGGCACGUCUGCCUGGGCGUCACAC
rnacentral:rRNA from 3 species